UCCAUAUCGAUAUCCGUAUAGUAGAAAGAGGCCAAAGAAAACCCUCAGCAAAUUCAAUGGCGACUACUGCAUUUCUUCAUCCUGCUGCGAGUUGCAGCGUUGUUUCUUCAUCUUGUCAUCUUAAAAGGAAGGAAGCCAUUUGCCGUAAUCUGCCUCUCAUUCGUUUGCUAUCGAUCUUUCAAAGCUCCGACAUCUUGAAAUCGAUCCUCCUUCAGCAUUACCUUUGACGCAUCUCCGACCAACCUGUACUAUGCUCCCAAUAAAUAGACCCCUGUAGAACUUCGAAACCUUAAUCUUUUUCUUGAACACCCAACACCAAACGUUACCAUCACUUUGUCAACAUGCAUUAACUGACGCAGACCAUAAAAUUGAAGUAAUGAAAGUUAAGUAUACCUUUGUAAGGCUUCAAAUACUUUUAGUUUUACUAAUCCCUAAACCCUUUUAAUUUUACUUUGCUCUCUGACUUCGGUGGUAGCUGCAGAGCUUAAGGAAGAUGAGGUGGCUUUGGUGAAGGUGGAUGCCACUGAGGAGUUGGAUUUCGCUCAGAAGUUUGAUGUUCUGGGUUUUCGAUACUGUACUUCUAUGUUGAUGGGGUGCAUAAACCCUACCCUGGUAAAUGAACCAGUUAAGUUUUCAUGUUUAUACAGGAUGAAUCUCAUGUAUUUACGGUUUCAUACGUGAAGAUGAAUGAAUU
rnacentral:lncRNA from 1 species